rnacentral:lncRNA from 1 species
CCUUUCUUGCUGAGGGGCGCCCACUCAGUCUGCUUUAUUUGAUUGGGGCACCCCAUCUAUUUGCCAAAGGAGGUGAUGGCCUUUCCGUUUAGGUCUGAUUUUCUUGGAAAGAAAAUUAAAUUAAAAGGUAAGAGGCCUUAUGAGAUAAGAUCUAAUCUUUUUAGCCUGACUAGAUAAUGAUUUGAAUCAGAAAAAGACCUAUAUAAAGAGAAGAUCUCCUAGGAUUUUAUAAGUUAGUUAUUUUUGAUUAAAAAAAUUAGAUCUCUCUCCCUCUCUCCUCUCCAUGCCACACCCUCUCUCUUUUCUCUUUCCCAUGUCCAAGAGUUGGGCAUCCCAUCCUUCUACACACCAAGAGGUGAGGAGUUGUUCUUCUAUAGCAAGAAAUGAGGAGAAGAAGGCUACAGUUCAAAAGUUGAAGUUGCAGUCCAGAUCAUUUGUUGAUCAAGGUUCAAAGAGGCAUAGAUCUUUUUUGGAGAAGAAAGAUCUAAUACGAGAAG